rnacentral:rRNA from 1 species
CAGUAGCCGCGGGAAUACGAAGGGUGCAAGCGUUAAUCGGAAUUACUGGGCGUAAAGCGUGCGUAGGCGGUGAGUUAAGUCUGCUGUGAAAUCCCCGGGCUCAACCUGGGAAUGGCAAUGGAAACUGGACGGCUAGAGUGUGUCAGAGGAUGGUGGAAUUCCCGGUGUAGCGGUGAAAUGCGUAGAGAUCGGGAGGAACAUCAGUAGCGAAGGCAGCCCCCUGGGCCAAUACUGACGCUCAUGCACGAAAGCGUGGGGAGCAAACAGGAUUAGAUACCCCAGUAGUCCCUGUCUCUUAUAC